AUGGACCCGAUUACGGAAACCUGGGAUGUUGAGCUCGUGAAAGAACUGUUCUGUGAAGAAGAUGCAAAAGAGAUGCCUGCUAUCGCUGUUGAUAGUGGCAUGGACGAUCUGGUAGCGUGGCAUUUUGACACCAAAGGCUUAUUCUCUGUGAAAUCUGCAUAUCACUUGGGAACGAGGUUGCGAGAUGCAAGCAAGGACACGGAUGCAAGCUCUUCUACCGUAGUGCCGCAGGCCUCACAAAGAUGGAAAAGAUUUUGGAGUCUGAGCUUGCCUCCUAACAUUCGUAUGUUCCUAUGGCGUCUGUCACACAAGUCGUUGCUUUUGCGAAUGAAUAUCAAGAGGAAACAUGUUGACCUGGAUACUAGAUGUCCGAUGUGCUUGCGCCUGGAUGAGGAUGGGGGACAUCUGUUCUUGAAGUGUAAGUUGGUAAAGCAAGUCUGGAGGGAAUUGCAGCUUGAGGAUGUCAGGCUCGUAUUGCUGGAAUGUGUAAAUCCUGAUGCUAUUUUUGAUCACUCGGGGUCGCUGAAACCUGAAAAGCGUGACCUGAUGCUUGUAUUUCUCUGGGAGUGGUGGAAGGUUCGGAAUAAGGCUAAUCAGGGAGAAAAGAUUAAGCCGGCUGCUGGAGUGGCGUAUUAUGUUAGGAAACUGUUGACGGAUUUCUAUGUUGAGGAAGGAAGUAUUCAGGCACAUACAUUGCCAGCUAUAGUUCAAGUUUGCAGAAAACCGAAGGGAAGUCAGGGUUUGUUAAAAUAA
rnacentral:rRNA from 1 species